rnacentral:rRNA from 1 species
GACGAACGCUGGCGGCGUGCCUAACACAUGCAAGUCGAACGAAGCAUUUGGAGCUGAUCUCUUCGGAGUGACGCACCUUAUGACUUAGUGGCGGACGGGUGAGUAACACGUGAGCAACCUGCCUCUCAGAGUGGAAUAACUUCGGGAAACCGGAGCUAAUGCCGGAUAACAUUUGGAACCGCAUGGUUCUAAAGUAAAAGAUGGUUUUGCCAUCACUUAUAGAUGGACCCGCGCCGUAUUAGCUAGUUGGUAAGGUAACGGCUUACCAAGGCAACGAUACGUAGCCGACCUGAGAGGGUGAUCGGCCACACUGGAACUGAGACACGGUCCAG